ACGAACGCUGGCGGCGUGCUUCACACAUGCAAGUCGAACGGAAAGGCCCUGCUUUUGUGGGGUGCUCGAGUGGCGAACGGGUGAGUAACACGUGAGUAACCUGUCCUUGACUUUGGGAUAACUUCAGGAAACUGGGGCUAAUACCGGAUAGGAGCUCCUGCUGCAUGGUGGGGGUUGGAAAGUUUCGGCGGUUGGGGAUGGACUCGCGGCUUAUCAGCUUGUUGGUGGGGUAGUGGCUUACCAAGGCUUUGACGGGUAGCCGGCCUGAGAGGGUGACCGGCCACAUUGGGACUGAGAUACGGCCCAGACUCCUACGGGAGGCAGCAGUGGGGAAUAUUGCACAAUGGGCGGAAGCCUGAUGCAGCAACGCCGCGUGCGGGAUGACGGCCUUCGGGUUGUAAACCGCUUUCGCCUGUGACGAAGCGUGAGUGACGGUAAUGGGUAAAGAAGCACCGGCUAACUACGUG
rnacentral:rRNA from 1 species